GGGAAACUCACCAGGUCCAGACAUAAUAAGGAUUGACAGAUUGAUAGCUCUUUCUUGAUUUUAUGGGUGGUGGUGCAUGGCCGUUCUUAGUUCGUGGAGUGAUUUGUCUGCUUAAUUGCGUUAACGAACGAGACCUUAACCUGCUAAAUAGGCUCACAUAUCUCCGGAUAAGUGGCUGUCUUCUUAGAGGGACUUUAUGCGUUUCAGCAUGAGGAAGUUUGAGGCUAAAA
rnacentral:rRNA from 1 species